rnacentral:rRNA from 1 species
CUACGGGGUGCUGCAGUGGGGAAUAUUGGACAGUGGGGGAAACCCUGAUCCAGCAAUGCCGCGUGUGUGAAGAAGGCCUGCGGGUUGUAAAGCACUUUCGGUUGGGAGGACUGCUUCUAGCACUAAUAUUGUUGGAAGUUGACGUUACCUUCAGAAGAAGCACCGGCUAACUCCGUGCCAGCAGCCGCGGUAGUACGGAGGGUGCAAGCGUUAAUCGGAAUUACUGGGCGUAAAGCGCGCGUAGGCGGCUAGAUCAGUCGGGUGUGAAAGCCCCGGGCUUAACCUGGGAACUGCAUCCGAUACUGUCUAGCUUGAGUACAGGAGAGGAGAGUGGAAUUCCACAUGUAGCGGUGAAAUGCGUAGAUAUGUGGAGGAACACCAAUGGCGAAGGCAGCUCUCUGGCCUGAUACUGACGCUGAGGUGCGAAAGCGUGGGGAGCAAACAGGAUUAGAUACCCUAGUAGUC